rnacentral:rRNA from 1 species
AGGACGAACGCUGGCGGCGUGCUUAACACAUGCAAGUCGAGCGGAAAGGCCCUUCGGGGUACUCGAGCGGCGAACGGGUGAGUAACACGUGAGUAACCUGCCUCUGACUUUGGGAUAACCCUCGGAAACGGGGCUAAUACCGGGUAUUCAUUCCUUGCGGCAUCGUGGGGUGUGGAAAGCUUUUGCGGUCAGGGAUGGGCUCGCGGCCUAUCAGCUUGUGUGGGUGAUGGCCUACCAAGGCGACGACGGGU